ensembl:lncRNA
GGUCGGUUGGGAGAGGAGGCUCUGGGUUUGUCCCGUUGGGCACAGGGUUUUCUGGAGCUUUCCCACUGAGUGGGUCGGUUGGGAGAGGAGGCUCUGGGGUUGUCCCGUUGGGCACAGGGUGUUCUGGAGCUUUCCCACUGAGUGGGUCGGUUGGGAGAGGAGGCUCUGGGGUUGUCCCGUUGGGCACAAGAUGUUCUGGAGCUUUCUCGUUGAGUGGAUCGGUUGGGAGAGGAGGCUCUUGGGUUGUCCCGUUGGGCACAGGGUGUUCUGGAGCUUUCCCACUGAGUGGGUCGGUUGGGAGAGGAGGCUCUGGGGUUGUCCCGUUGGGCACAGGGUGUUCUGAAGCUUUCCCACUGACUGGGUCGGUUGGAAGAGGAGGCUCUUGGGUUGUCCCGUUGGGCACAGGGUGUUCUGGAGCUUUCCCUCUGAGUGGGUCGGUUGGGAGAGGAGGCUCUUGGGUUGUCCCGUUGGGCACAGGGUGUUCUGGAGCUUUCUCGUUGGGUGGCUCGGUUGGGAGAGGAGGCUCUUGGGUUGUCCCGUUGGGCACAGGGUGUUCUGGAGCUUUCCCUCUGAGUGGGUCGGUUGGGAGAGGAGGCUCUGGGGUUGUCCGAUUGGGCACAGGAUGUUCUGGAGUUUUCUCGUUGGGGAGUACACGUAGGAAAAGAAGUUUGAGGGUUGUCCUGUUGGGUAGAAGAGGUUCUGGAGUUGUCUUCCUGGGUGGCUUUGGUGGGAGAGGAAACUUGAGGAUUGUUUAGUUGGGUGGACGAGGUUCUAAGGUUGUCCCGUUGGGUGGUUCUUGAGGGAGAGGAUGCUCUGGGGGUGUUCCGCUGUGUGGAAGAGGUCCUGGGGACGUCCUGUUGGGUGGAUGAGGUUCUGGGGUUGUCCCGUUGGGUGGUUCUCGCGGGAGAGGAGGCUGGGGGGGUAUUGAAUUGUGUGGAAGCAGCCUGGGCAACGUCCUUUUGGGCAGAACGAUGGAGAGAGGAAGCCUGCGAGGUGGCACUUCGAGGUCCACUCUGCGGUGUUCCAGAGGCAGCCGGGUUUAGUGCUGGCUGAUGCCGCUCCAAGGAGAAGUACCUGCUUUCUCCCCGGAGCUUCGCCCAGUGCUGCCCAGCGCUUCGGC